CCUGUGGAGCGUCAUACUCAAACCGCGAGUAGCCUUGGCAAAAGCGGACGCGUUGAAGCAGGAA
rnacentral:sRNA from 12 species